rnacentral:rRNA from 1 species
UACGUAGGGUCCGAGCGUUUGUCCGGAAUUAUUGGGCGUAAAGGGCUCGUAGGCGGUUUGUCGCGUCGGGAGUGAAAACCUCGGGCUUAACUCGGGGCUUGCUUUCGAUACGGGCAGACUGGAGGUAUGCAGGGGAGAACGGAAUUCCUGGUGUAGCGGUGAAAUGCGCAGAUAUCAGGAGGAACACCGGUGGCGAAGGCGGUUCUCUGGGCAUUACCUGACGCUGAGGAGCGAAAGUGUGGGGAGCGAACAGG